AGAGUUUGAUCAUGGCUCAGAUUGAACGCUGGCGGCAGGCCUAACACAUGCAAGUCGAACGGUAACAGGAAACAGCUUGCUGUUUCGCUGACGAGUGGCGGACGGGUGAGUAAUGUCUGGGAAACUGCCCGAUGGAGGGGGAUAACUACUGGAAACGGUAGCUAAUACCGCAUAACGUCGCAAGACCAAAGAGGGGGACCUUCGGGCCUCUUGCCAUCAGAUGUGCCCAGAUGGGAUUAGCUAGUAGGUGGGGUAACGGCUCACCUAGGCGACGAUCCCUAGCUGGUCUGAGAGGAUGACCAGCCACACUGGAACUGAGACACGGUCCAGACUCCUACGGGAGGCAGCAGCGGGGAAUAUUGCACAAUGGGCGCAAGCCUGAUGCAGCCAUGCCGCGUGUAUGAAGAAGGCCUUCGGGUUGUAAAGUACUUUCAGCGGGGAGGAAGGGAGUAAAGUUAAUACCUUUGCUCAUUGACGUUACCCGCAGAAGAAGCACCGGCUAACUCCGUGCCAGCAGCCGCGGUAAUACGGAGGGUGCAAGCGUUAAUCGGAAUUACUGGGCGUAAAGCGCACGCAGGCGGUUAGUUAAGUCAGAUGUGAAAUCCCCGGGCUCAACCUGGGAACUGCAUCUGAUACUGGCAAGCUUGAGUCUCGUAGAGGGGGGUAGAAUUCCAGGUGUAGCGGUGAAAUGCGUAGAGAUCUGGAGGAAUACCGGUGGCGAAGGCGGCCCCCUGGACGAAGACUGACGCUCAGGUGCGAAAGCGUGGGGAGCAAACAGGAUUAGAUACCCUGGUAGUCCACGCCGUAAACGAUGUCGACUUGGAGGUUGUGCCCUUGAGGCGUGGCUUCCGGAGCUAACGCGUUAAGUCGACCGCCUGGGGAGUACGGCCGCAAGGUUAAAACUCAAAUGAAUUGACGGGGGCCCGCACAAGCGGUGGAGCAUGUGGUUUAAUUCGAUGCAACGCGAAGAACCUUACCUGGUCUUGACAUCCACGGAAGUUUUCAGAGAUGAGAAUGUGCCUUCGGGAACCGUGAGACAGGUGCUGCAUGGCUGUCGUCAGCUCGUGUUGUGAAAUGUUGGGUUAAGUCCCGCAACGAGCGCAACCCUUAUCCUUUGUUGCCAGCGGUCCGGCCGGGAACUCAAAGGAGACUGCCAGUGAUAAACUGGAGGAAGGUGGGGAUGACGUCAAGUCAUCAUGGCCCUUACGACCAGGGCUACACACGUGCUACAAUGGCGCAUACAAAGAGAAGCGACCUCGCGAGAGCAAGCGGACCUCAUAAAGUGCGUCGUAGUCCGGAUUGGAGUCUGCAACUCGACUCCAUGAAGUCGGAAUCGCUAGUAAUCGUGGAUCAGAAUGCCACGGUGAAUACGUUCCCGGGCCUUGUACACACCGCCCGUCACACCAUGGGAGUGGGUUGCAAAAGAAGUAGGUAGCUUAACCUUCGGGAGGGCGCUUACCACUUUGUGAUUCAUGACUGGGGUGAAGUCGUAACAAGGUAACCGUAGGGGAACCUGCGGUUG
rnacentral:rRNA from 1 species